AAUGGAAUCAAAAUUCAUGGAGCAGUGAAAAUAUACAAAAAUUAACAAACCAUUUUUGCCAACAAACAUGUCAAAACACCCAUGUUUGUUUAUUCAAAAAAAUUGCAAAAACAUGAUAUUGAAAUCUUUGUUUAUAAAGAGAAAAUUAAGAACGCACGAACACACACAUAGCCAGCACGCACUUUUUUUUGUAAUCGAUGACUUGAAAACUUUAUUCGUGAGAAUAAUGGUUUGCAGCGUAUAAUCAAAAGUGACAUGUUCCUGUCCAUUUCCUUCGCGUUAUUACGGUAAUAGCACCCGGGAAUGCGCGAAUAUUCAGAAAUUCUUACGUUUGUUCAAGUAUGAUACAAAGAUCCGUGUUGUUCAUAUGCAGUGUUUUAACGGGCACCGCAAUAUUUCCGCGUGAAAUGCCGAAACACGUUCUGGGGGUGACUGCGCUUUCGCUGUAACCCUUUCCGUAGAAACACAGCUUGUAGUCUUUUGUGACAUUGUUGUCGCCGCUAUCCCACGUGUUGCAGAAGAGACAAAUGCAUUGCAGACUCCCGCCACCGAGCGAGCGAGCUGCAUCGACAGCUUUAAGUCAUCGCUGUCACUGCAAGAUAUUACGAAACUGUAGUCUUUACAGUUCACAUCUCCCAUUCCUUCCAAAGGCUAUACAAUGAGUGAAUACUUCUCGCUGUCGGAGUGUGAUGUAAUUGGCUUUGAUUUGGACCACAGGCUUUGUCGGUACAAUUUGAAGGAGACCUCCAGGCUGAUCUAUGAGAGUUUUGCAAAGUAUCUGGUGGAACACAAGGGCUAUGAUAAAGAUCUGCUUCAUUUAACACCCUCUACUUGGGAUUUCCGGGGAGUUUUAGUAACAGAUUUAUCAAUAAAACUGAGAAUACUUGCAUGGAACCAGAUUUAUCAUGACCGAUGCCCAUAUAUACUCAAAACAGAUGCAGAUGUUGAUGCUAAAAGACCUUGAUAGUUAGUGCCAUUAAUCGUUCUUUAAUAAAUAUUUAAAUCAUUAUUAAGUAUUACAUAACUAUUUACAGCAUAAUUCAGAAUCAAAACUUCAUUAAAUCUUUAAUGGUUGAACAAGGUCAUGACCUUAAUCACAUCAUCCAGGGAAUCAAACUGCUCACCCUUUGUCAAAAUUCACCAUUUUGAAUGCAGAAUCACUCAUCUAUGUUUAUGUGCGAACAGGUUUUUUCCUUGAUAAAUGUUAGAGGCUUUUUUAAAGAUAUAUAUACACAAAGAACAUAGAAUAUAGUCAUAUAUAUUUAUUUUAUUUUUGCUGUUAAAAUAUGCUAAUUAAAAACAAUAGGACAAAUAAAAGAACAAAGAUACAAAUUAAAUAAACGUAAAGUUUCAAGUUUUAAAAUGAAAUAAAAGUUUUUCAGGUACAAUUGGUUUAUUUAACAUCUAGUAAGAUGUCCACAGAAAUGGAAUAAUUAAAUGUAAAUAAAAAUCUGCAUAGUUUUCACUGUAUUAUUUAAAUAUAAAUUAAAUCUUAUUAGAGAUUGAUACAAAAGUUAAGCAGUCAAGAGCAGUGAAUGAUUUUUUUCUUUAUUUUGCUCUUUAAUUAACAUUAAAAUACACAGGCAGCAGCAGGUUCAUUAGGCUCCACAUGAUGGAUAUUGAGUACAUCAUGCACAUGCUAUAUUGGAAAUUUACAUGCAUAUAUAGCAAAAUCUCUAACGAUAGACACUUUAUACUGUUGCCGCGAUAUGUCAUCAUACUGCCAGCCUUACUCAUUAACAAACUGAAUCUUGUUUCAUGCAAGUAUUCUUGUCACUCAUACAGAUUAUGAAAAGAAAUUAAUUGGUUAUGUAUAUAUCUAUAAUAUUUUCAUUUGCGUAGGCUUUUUUUUCUUAACAAAGAAAUAAGUUGUUGUCCUAGUAUGAGCCUGUUUAUCUCUCUAGUACACAAACACAGUUGCUUGUUGUCAUGUGACCAGUUUUAAAGGUCUUGUGGUGCACCUUGAGGAGGGCAAUCUUGUCAAGUUGGCAGAGGACGGUACUGUCUUGCGAGCAACUCAUGGCAGUAAAAACCUUAGUACUGACGACAUUAUAAAGCAUUACGGUCCAAAAAGAGAAUGGAAGCAUUUUAAUAGCCUCAAUACCUCAUAUACACGAUCUGCAAAAUACUAUUUUUAUGACAACUAUUUUGACCUCCCUGGUGCUCUUCUCUGUGCCAGAGUGGUGGAUAUGUUGAAUAAGCGAGGAGCUGAAAUCACAUCUGAUGUUUGGAAAGACAUUGUUGCUGCUAUUGACCAUAAUUACAACACAUCUGCAUUUCGGAGAACACUGGGAUAUAUUUCCCCAGUGUGAAGUGCUGUCCUGGCCGUUAUCUGCAGCCCUGCUCCGAUGCGGUGAAGAGAUGGUUGAGGAGCAUGAAGAACAGCGGUAAAAUCAUGCUGCUCAUCACCAGCUCACACUCGGACUACUGCCGCCUCGUGUGCGAGCACAUACUCGGAAUGGACUUUGAGGAGCUGUUUGACAUCAUUAUCACUAUUGUUCUG